rnacentral:rRNA from 1 species
GACGAACGCUGGCGGCGUGCCUAAUACAUGCAAGUUGAGCGCUGAAGGUUGGUACUUGUACCCACUGGAUGAGCAGCGAACGGGUGAGUAACGCGUGGGGAAUCUGCCUUUGAGCGGGGGACAACAUUUGGAAACGAAUGCUAAUACCGCAUAAAAACUUUAAACACAAGUUUUAAGUUUGAAAGAUGCAAUUGCAUCACUCAAAGAUGAUCCCGCGUUGUAUUAGCUAGUUGGUGAGGUAAAGGCUCACCAAGGCGAUGAUACAUAGCCGACCUGAGAGGGUGAUCGGCCCCCUUGGGACUGGGACACGGCCCAAACUCCUACGGGAGGCAGCCGUAGGGAAUCUUCGGCAAUGGACGAAAGUCUGACCGAGCAACGCCGCGUGAGUGAAGAAGGGUUUCGGAUCGUAAAACUCUGUUGGUAGAGAAGAACGUUGGUGAGAGUGGAAAGCUCAUCAAGUGACGGUAACUACCCAGAAAGGGACGGCUAACUACGUG